rnacentral:rRNA from 1 species
UACGUAGGGGCCAAGCGUUGUCCGGAUUUAUUGGGCGUAAAGAGCUCGUAGGCGGUUGGGUAAGUCGGGUGUGAAAACUCCAGGCUCAACUUGGAGAUGCCACCCGAUACUGCUCUGACUUGAGUUCGGUAGGGGAGUGGGGAAUUCCUGGUGUAGCGGUGAAAUGCGUAGAUAUCGGAAGGAACAUCAGUGGCGAAAGCGACUUCCUGGACCAAUACUGACGCUCAUGUGCGAAAGCGUGGGGAGCAAACAGG